AAAUCCGUCGACUUUAAAAAUCGUGAGGGUUCAAGUCCCUCUAUCCCCCAA
rnacentral:tRNA from 2 species